GACGAACGCUGGCGGCGUGCUUAACACAUGCAAGUCGAGCGAUGAAAUCCCUUCGGGGAUGGAUUAGCGGCGGACGGGUGAGUAACACGUGGGUAACCUGCCUCAAAGAGGGGGAUAGCCUCCCGAAAGGGAGAUUAAUACCGCAUAACAUUAGUUUUUCGCAUGAAGAACUAAUUAAAGGAGUAAUCCGCUUUGAGAUGGACCCGCGGCGCAUUAGCUAGUUGGUGAGGUAACGGCUCACCAAGGCGACGAUGCGUAGCCGACCUGAGAGGGUGAUCGGCCACAUUGGAACUGAGACACGGUCCAGACUCCUACGGGAGGCAGCAGUGGGGAAUAUUGCACAAUGGGCGAAAGCCUGAUGCAGCAACGCCGCGUGAGUGAUGAAGGCCUUCGGGUUGUAAAGCUCUGUCUUUGGGGACGAUAAUGACGGUACCCAAGGAGGAAGCCACGGCUAACUACGUGCCAGCCGCCGCCGUAAUAC
rnacentral:rRNA from 1 species